rnacentral:rRNA from 1 species
CUACGGGCGGCUGCAGUGGGGAAUUUUGCGCAAUGGGCGAAAGCCUGACGCAGCAAUACCGCGUGAGUGAAGAAGGCCUUUGGGUCGUAAAGCUCUUUGUCUAAGGGAAGAUAAUGACGGUACCUUAGGAAUAAGCACCGGCUAACUCCGUGCCAGCAGCCGCGGUAAUACGGAGGGUGCAAGCGUUGUUCGGAUUUACUGGGCGUAAAGGGCGCGUAGGCGGUCUUGUAAGUUAAGGGUGAAAUCCCAGGGCUUAACCCUGGAACUGCUCUUAAAACUGCAUGACUAGAGACAGAUAGAGGUGAGUGGAAUUCCUGGUGUAGAGGUGAAAUUCGUAGAUAUCAGGAGGAACACCGGAGGCGAAGGCGGCUCACUGGAUCUGUUCUGACGCUAAGGCGCGAAAGCGUGGGGAGCAAACGGGAUUAGAUACCCUAGUAGUC